UACGUAGGGGGCAAGCGUUGUCCGGAUUUAUUGGGCGUAAAGCGUCCGCAGGUGGCAGUUCAAGUCUGCUGUCAAAGACCGGGGCUUAACUUCGGAAAGGCAGUGGAAACUGAACAGCUAGAGUAUGGUAGGGGCAGAGGGAAUUCCUGGUGUAGCGGUGAAAUGCGUAGAGAUCAGGAAGAACAUCGGUGGCGAAGGCGCUCUGCUGGACCAUAACUGACACUCGGGGACGAAAGCUAGGGGAGCGAAUGGG
rnacentral:rRNA from 1 species